rnacentral:rRNA from 1 species
CCUACGGGUGGCAGCAGUGGGGAAUUUUGGACAAUGGGCGCAAGCCUGAUCCAGCUAUUCCGCGUGUGGGAAGACGGCCUUCGGGUUGUAAACCACUUUUGUAGAGAACGAAAAUGCUAUUGAUAAUACCGAUAGAUGAUGACGGUACUCUAAGAAUAAGCACCGGCUAACUACGUGCCAGCAGCCGCGGUAAUACGUAGGGUGCGAGCGUUAAUCGGAAUUACUGGGCGUAAAGGGUGUGCAGGCGGUUUUGCAAGAUGGAUGUGAAAGCCCCGGGCUUAACCUGGGAAAGCCAUACAUGACUGCAAGACUAGAGUGCGUCAGAGGGGGGUGGAAUUCCAAGUGUAGCAGUGAAAUGCGUAGAUAUUUGGAAGAACACCGAUGGCGAAGGCAGCCCCCUGGGACGCAACUGACGCUCAUACACGAAAGCGUGGGGAGCAAACAGGAUUAGAUACCCGGGUAGUC